rnacentral:rRNA from 1 species
UACAGAGGGUGCGAGCGUUGUCCGGAAUCACUGGGCGUAAAGGGCGCGUAGGUGGUGGCUUAAGCGUGCGGUGAAAGCUCGGAGCUCAACUCCGAGUCGGCCGUGCGAACUGGGCUCACUGGAGCAUAGUAGAGGCAGGUGGAAUUCCGGGUGUAGCGGUGGAAUGCGUAGAGAUCCGGAAGAACACCCGUGGCGAAGGCGGCUCUCUGGUACGUGACUGACGCUGAGACGCGAAAGCGUGGGGAGCAAACAGG